rfam:Atta colombica isolate Treedump-2 unplaced genomic scaffold scaffold135, whole genome shotgun sequence.
GCCUCUGUGGUCUAAUAGCUUAGGACGCUCGUAUGGAAUACAAGAGAUCCGAGUUCAAGUCUCGGCCGAGAUA